AUGGCUUCACCAGUCAGCAAGGGGUCUAUGAUUGCCUCUACCGGUGCAAGUUCUCAUACUCUCAAAGGAAAUUCAGAUGACAUGGGGUGGGAGUUUGCAACCUUGAUCAAUCCUUUAGAUCUACAACGAGUCAAGUGCAAGUUGUGUGGAAAGGAGAUGGGUGGAGGCAUCAAUAGGAUGAAGCAACAUAUUGGGCAGGUAAAGGGAAGCGUGACAAGUUGCAAUGUAGCCACACCAGAUCAGCAGAAAAGGUGUAAGGAUGCUUAUGAGGCACCACAAAAGAAGAAUAAGCUGAAAUAA
rnacentral:rRNA from 1 species